AAGCUUUAGCUUGUAAUCAAUCUGUGGACA
rnacentral:piRNA from 1 species